GCCAGUGUUGCAUAGUGGUUUGACUGUUGGACUGCAAUUUUGGAGAUCAGGGUUCGAUUCCCUGCUUGGCCA